UGCUUUGCGUGCUGGCGGUAUCGUAACCAAUGAGGUUAAUCUGAGGCAUGAUUAUUGGUAAUUGAAAACUUUCCCCAAGACCAACAGAUGAGGAACACAACACCAUAAGUAGCAAUUUUCUGAGGGCAUGUAUUGGAUAUGC